CCUACGGGAGGCAGCAGUGGGGGAUAUUGCACAAUGGGGGGAACCCUGAUGCAGCGACGCCGCGUGGGUGAAGAAGCGCCUCGGCGCGUAAAGCUCUGUCAGUAGGGAAGAAAAUGACGGUAACUGAAGAUUAAGCCCUUGCUAACUACGUGCCAGAAGCCGCGGUAAUACGUAGGGGGCAAGCGUUAUCCGGAUUUACUGGGUGAAAAGGGGGCGCAGACGGUGAUGCAAGCCAGGAGUGAAAGCGCGGGGCCCAACCCCGGGACUGCUCUUGGAACUGCGUGGCUGGAGUGCAGGAGGGGAAGGCGGAAUUCCAGGUGUAGCGGUGAAAUGCGUAGAUAUCAGGAGGAACACCGGUGGCGAAGGCGGCCUGCUGGACUGCAACUGACGUUGAGGCUCGAAAGCGUGGGGAGCAAACAGGAUUAGAUACCCUUGUAGUC
rnacentral:rRNA from 1 species